rnacentral:rRNA from 1 species
UACGAACCGAGCGAACGUUGUUCGGAAUCACUGGGCUUAAAGGGCGCGUAGGCGGGCUGCCGCGUCCGGGGUGAAAUCCCACGGCUCAACCGUGGAACGGCCCCGGAUACGGGCGGUCUGGAGGGGGGUAGGGGCAUCUGGAACUGUGAGUGGAGCGGUGAAAUGCGUUGAUAUUCACAGGAACUCCGGUGGCGAAGGCGAGGUGCUGGACCCCACCUGACGCUGAGGCGCGAAAGCGUGGGGAUCAAACAGG